rnacentral:lncRNA from 1 species
UGUCCCGGACCGGAUUCGAACCCAUACCCUCCGGAAUUGGAGGCAGAGGCCAUAUCCACUGGGCUAUCAGUAUACAUAUGUUGUGUAUCAAUUCGGCUUCUGUGAUUUUUACAGGGGUAUCUAGACAGUCAAGUUAAAUUAUCAUCCAUACUAAUAUUAUAAAUAUGAAAGUGUGUGUGUCUGUUUGACCGUCUUUCAAGGCAAAACGUAGCGACGGAUUGACGUGAUUUUUAAGUGGAGAUAGUUAGGAGGAUGGAGAGUGAUUUAAAAAGAGAUGAGAAAAUAUUAAAUUAAAAACAUUACCUGUCUCACCUACUAUCUGGCUAGGUGCGCCACGGCGAUCUCCAUAAACUCACAGGUAUUCAAAGCGCAUGAGACACUACUGAGAACCUAAGGUUUUAUCUAUUUGAAAAUAAGUUAUGUCAGAUCGCUCUGGGAUCUUGGACUAAACCGUUGAAUUGCAACGCUACGCACUAAUGAGGUAUCGCCAUAAGUUAUUUCUUGUUUGAGAGAAUGCAACGGAUGCUAUGAACGUGUCUAUUACUUUCCCUGUCUGGGGAUAGCAUUACUCUCCAGAGUAAAUAUGUUUCUUGGCAUUACUUUGGCUCCCAUUAGUUAAGAAUCGGUGUACAAAAAUAUAAACACCCAAUAAUUUUAUUAUUUUCAAUGUUAGUGAUAUUUUUAUUUAGUAAUGUGUAAGUUUUUUUUUAUUUUAAUAAUAAUCUAUGUAUAAAUAAUAGGCGAGCUUUCAUUCGGAAAGAUACAGAUUUAGUUGCAAUUAGAAUUUUUGUAUAGUUGCACUUAAUUUUACUUUAAUAUGUACAUAUGAUGUUUUUUUUAACAAAAAUAAUAUUGUAAAGGUAAAUUGUUGUUUAUUGAAACAGUAUGCAUAAUAUGCCUACCGAAUAGUUCAGUCUGCAUUGCCGUUUAGUUAUUUGUGACAUAUAAUAAAUAUUUAAAGACUAA